rnacentral:rRNA from 1 species
CUGACGGUAGUCGUAUGCUCGUCUCCGAGACUAAGACCAUGCAAGUCCAAGUACACGUCCUUGAACGACGGAAACUGCGAACGGCUCAUUAAAUCAGUUGCGAUCUACUCGGCGUUCCGCGCCGCCGGAUAACCGUAGUAAUUCUAGGGCUAAUACGUGCGAAGCGCCCGAAGCCGCGAGGCGACGGGCGUUCUCGCCGGAUGUAGGAACCGACCCGGGGACCGCCGGGGCAACCCGGCGCCCCCGAGACGGGGCGAACCACGGUGAAAUGACGGAUCGUCGGCCCCGCGCCGGCGACUCGCCGAAUGAGUUUCUGACCUAUCAACUCGAGACGGCGGGGUAGAGGCCCGCCGCGGUAACGACGGGUAACGGGGAAUCAGGGUUCGAUUCCGGAGAGGGAGCCCGAGAAACGGCUACCACUUCCAAGGAAGGCAGCAGGCGCGCAACUUA